rnacentral:rRNA from 1 species
GACGAACGCUGGCGGCGUGCUUAACACAUGCAAGUCGAACGGAAAGGCCCUGCUUUUGCGGGGUUCUCGAGAGCCGAACGGGUGAGUAACACGCGAGUAACCCGUCCUUGACUUUCGGAUAACUCUAGGAAACUGGGGCUAAUACCGGAUAGGAGCUCUUGCUGCACGGUGGGGGUUGGAAAGUUUCGGCGGUUGGGGAUGGACUCGCGGCUUAUCAGCUUGAUGGUGGGGUAGGGGCUUACAAAGUGUAUGACGGAUAGCCGGCCUGAGAGGGUGACCGGCGACAUUGGGACUGAGAUACGGCGCAGACUGGUACGGGCGGCAGCAGGGGGGAGUAUUGCGCAAUAGGCGGAAGCCAGAGGCAGCAACGCCGCGUGCGUGAUGACGUCUUUCGGGUGGUAAACAGAUUUCGCCUGUAACGAAGCGUGAGUGACGGUAAUGGGUAAGGAAGCACCGGCUAACUACGUG